rnacentral:pre_miRNA from 1 species
CUGAAUUUAUCUGAGCGCUGGACGAUAUAGAGAUCUAGCACCAUGUAAAUUCAGCA